CUGAGGUUACAUUCCUUGUUAUGAUGCUGGGAAAAGAUGAGAGGAGAAAAAUAUGGAUGAAGAGGACAACAAAAAUGCAAAGGAGCAGAGAUGACAGAUACAGCAAAGAAUCUGCAACAAGUUUGUCAGGUCACCUUAAAUGGGAACUAAGCAUGAAACCUGACAGCGGAGUGUGCAGAGAUGAAAUGCUCCUGGAUGACUCCGUGGUGGUUUUGGUUGCUGUGGUGAUUAUCCAUCUGUUUAAAUCCUUCAUAUGGGAGAUUCACAACUCAUUUAUCAUGUUCCCUUCUCCAUGGCACGCUGUGGCAGAUCCUCUUGGGCUUUGAAGUAACUCAGGAAAGGGAGUGACACAUCUGCCUUUCCA